rnacentral:rRNA from 1 species
UACGAGGGGGGCAAGUGUUGUUCGGAAUCACUGGGCGUAAAGGGAGCGUAGGCGGACGUUUAAGUUGGAUGUUUAAAACCGGGGCCCAACCCCGGGGCGGCAUCCAAAACUGGGCGUCUUGAAUGGGACAGAGGCUGGUGGAAUUGGGGGUGUAGCGGUGGAAUGCGUAGAGAUCCCCAAGAACACCGAUUGCGAAGGCGGCCGACUGGACACAUAUUGACGCUGAGGCUCGAAAGCAUGGGGAGCAAACAGG